ACAAUGUUCCGCUGUCAUUAUCUCGAGAAGGGGUGGCAAGAGCAUUGG
rfam:Bacillus sp. FJAT-27986 scaffolf1, whole genome shotgun sequence.